UGGACCGACAGACGGAUGGACCGGGCUUUCUUGCUCAAGUGAGCAAUGACAUCCCUGAAGAAGACGUCGCUUGGAUGGCAGCGUGUGUUCCUCCAAAAGCUGUAUAUACCUUUCAGCAUGAAUGGUGGCAAUAUGCACUAACCCCCCCCCCCUCAAAAUCUGUAUGGAAGGAUGGACCGACAGACGGAUGGACCGGGCUUUCUUGCUCAAAGAGCAGCUCGAGCUAAUAAAAGGCUGCGGGGAGUCGGCGGAGGCCGCAAUAAAGCCGGAGCGCCAUCAAGGAGAGCGGCCAAGUUUCACCCGGCUGAGUGACAGUAAUAAGCCAACAAAGUGCUCGGCCAACGCCGACAACAAGCUCCCGGGGGGGGGUGGGCACGCGCCCGCCCCCGCCGGCACCGCUUCCGGAUUGAAGCCGCGGCUAAGCAGACCUGCAACGACCCGACAGUUCAGGGUGUGCCCCGCCUCCUGCCGGGUUAGGCUCCAGAACUCCCCGCGACCCUCGUGAGGAUAAGCGGCGAAGAAAAUGGAUGAAUCGAUGAAAGACACGCAUGCAACGAGAACGAAGCUGAAGGACCGCAAACUUUUCCUGCGAUGUUUCGGGAGUGGGUGGAGCCUGCUUUCAAGGGGCGUGGCCACAUCGGAAUUUGGGAGUUGGCCCAGUGUUGCAGUAAAUGUGCAAAAGCGCAAUAAUGGACUGCACCCUGGAUAUGAAAAUUGGGCAAAAAUCAUAUUGAUCUGAAAUAUUAGCAUAUUCUCAAACUGGCAAACAUGUCAUUAGGCCACUUUAGUUCCCAGGUGCUUAUUUACUCUAUGAGGCCCGUUUG